CAAAAGUAGGUUGAAGCCCACCAGGAGGCAUUGAGCUUUGAAGGUUGUGAGUUGCCGGGAGAGAAGCAGAGAUGAGGUUUCAGGAGCUGCUGGAGAGAAAAGGUGUUCGUGUAGCCUUGGGUAGCGGGGCCGUUACGUUAUAUCCUCAGGAAAGAAAAAAAGAGAGUGAAGUCGCUCAGUCAUGUCUGACUCUUUGCGACCCUAUGGACUGUAGCCUACCAGGCUUGUCUUCUCUGUCCAUGGGAUUCUUCAGGCAAGAAUACUGGAGUGGGUUACCAUUUCCUUCUUCAGGGGAUCUUCCUGACCCAGGGAUCGAACCCGAGUCUCCCGCAUUGGGGGCAGGCUCUUUAACCUCUGAGCCAUCAGGGACCCUCAGGAAAAGGAGCUGUAAAUCCUGGAAGCCAGAUUCUGAUCUGCUCCCUCCCAGAAGAAACCAUAGUUGUGUCAAUCUCUGCCCCCUGGGCAGGUCCUGGCGCCAGAACCACACAUCAGGGAGCUCCUGCCCCAGGAGGUGCAUGAAGAGGCCUUAGGCUGGACCUGCCCACCCUGCCCAGUCACCGGUGGGACAUCUCUACCCGGCUGCACCUUAUGUGUCUCCUGCCUUUGGUGACCACCACCUCUCCCUUGGGCUCCCAGGUCUGGAAACUUUGAGUUAUCUCAGAGUCUUCCCACUUCCUCUUCUGCUCCCACAGUUGUUCCAAUACGUUGGCCACCUGUGGAGAAGGGCUGAUUCACUGGAAAAGACCCUGAUGCUGGGAAAGAUUGAGGGCAGGAGGAGAAGGGGACAACAAAGGAUGAGAUGAUUGGACGGGAUCAUUGACUCAAUGGACAUGAGUGUGAGCAAGCUCCGGGAGAUGGAGAAGGACAGGGAAGGCUGGCAGACUGCAGUCCAUGGGGUCACAAAGAGUCAGACAUGACUUAGCAACUGAAUGACAAGUUCUUCCUAAAAUGUCUUUAGAUUCAGUCAACGACCAAGCAUUAUGCUUAGUGUUUUGGUAGCUAAAGUUUCUCAGUCUUGACUGCAGACCACCUCCCUGCCCACCAUUUGUCACCACAUCCUUCCCCAGCCCUGUGAGCCAGCCAACCCCAAUAUGCCACGAGGGAUCUUUAGUUCCCAUGCCCCUGCACUGGAAGGGCUUCGUUUUUUUAAUUGAUUUAUUUUUGGCUGCGCUGGGUCUUCAUUGCUGCAUGUGGGCUUUCUCCACUUGUGGUGUGUGGGCUUCUCAUCACAGUGUCUUCUCUUGUUGCAGAACACAGGCUCUAGGGAGUGCAGGCUUCAGUAGUUGUGUUACACAGGCUUAGCUGCCCUAUGGCAUGUGGGAUCUUCCUGGACCAGAGAUCGAACUAGUGUCUCCUGCACUGCAAGGCAGAUUCUUAACCACUGGACCACCAGGAAAGUUCCUGCCAUGGACUUUUAAAACUAAUCCUUUUUACACUUGACCCUUUCCUUGUCCCUGGAACUGAGCGACUGCCCUUUUAUUGUUUAAGGUCACCUCAGAGAGUAGGGCUUCCCAAGUGGCACUUGUGGUAAAGAACUCAACUGCCAAUGCAGGAGACAUAAGAGGCGCAGGUUCGAUCCCUGUGUCAGGAAGAUCCCUUGGAGGAAGGUAUGGCAACCCACUCCAGUAUUCUUGCCUGGAGAAUCCCUUGGACAGAGGAGCCUGGUGGGCUACAGUCCAUGGGGUCACAAAGAGUCGGAUACGACUGAGUGACUAACACAUACACCUCAGAGAGCACCAAGCACCUCGGUGAAAUUCAUUCUUUUUUGUUUUUCUCUGGGGCAGAGGCACCACCCGUCCCUCCCUCUGAGCUCAUCCAGCUGCCACCAGGGGUUUCUGCCUCUGUUCACAGCGUGGGCUUGCUUCUGCCUGCUGGCACAGCACGGGGCCACCAAUUCUCUUGCCACACUGGCCCUGUGCCCAGCACAUGGCUGGCAGAAACAGAUGAAUACUCCUUACUUCAGCAUCUUGGUUCCUCCUUCACAGCUCACCUGCAGUGAUAACUGGGAAACAAAGUCCAGAAGUGGAGAAGGACAUGGCGAUCCACUCCAGUGUUCUUGCUUGGAGAGUGCCAUGGACAGAAGAGCCUAGUGGGCUCCAGUCCAUGGGGUUGCACAGGGUUGGACAGGACUGAAGCGACUUAGCAGGCAUGCAGGCACGCCAGGUCCACAAGGGCCUCGGUGUGUCUUACUGGAAGAUUGUGAUCCUGGAAGCUGGUUCUCAGCCCAGCCCAGAUGGCCUUCCUUUUGCUCUUAGUUUCUUUCCUUCCUUGACAUGUACUGAGGCUCAGGAAAUGGUUCUUCAGGCUGGCUGAGAAGAAUCUGAGGGGCGGGGCCCAGGCGG
ensembl:lncRNA